rnacentral:rRNA from 1 species
CCAACCGGGUCUAUACUGCAGUCGAGCGGACAGAUGGGAGCUUGCUCCCUGAUGUUAGCGGCGGACGGGUGAGUAACACGUGGGUAACUCUGCUCUGUAAGACUGGGAUAACUCCGGGAAACCGGGGCUAAUACCGGAUGGUUGUUUGAACCGCAUGGUUCAGACAUAAAAGGUGGCUUCGGCUACCACUUACAGAUGGACCCGCGGCGCAUUAGCUAGUUGGUGAGGUAACGGCUCACCAAGGCGACGAUGCGUAGCCGACCUGAGAGGGUGAUCGGCCACACUGGGACUGAGACACGGCCCAGACUCCUACGGGAGGCAGCAGUAGGGAAUCUUCCGCAAUGGACGAAAGUCUGACGGAGCAACGCCGCGUGAGUGAUGAAGGUUUUCGGAUCGUAAAGCUCUGUUGUUAGGGAAGAACAAGUGCCGUUCAAAUAGGGCGGCACCUUGACGGUACCUAACCAGAAAGCCACGGCUAACUACGUGCCAGCAGCCGCGGUAAUACGUAGGUGGCAAGCGUUGUCCGGAAUUAUUGGGCGUAAAGGGCUCGCAGGCGGUUUCUUAAGUCUGAUGUGAAAGCCCCCGGCUCAACCGGGGAGGGUCAUUGGAAACUGGGGGAACUUGAGUGCAGAAGAGGAGAGUGAAAUUCCACGUGUAGCGGUGAAAUGCGUAGAGAUGUGGAGGAACACCAGUGGCGAAGGCGACUCUCUGGUCUGUAACUGACGCUGAGGAGCGAAAGCGUGGGAGCGAACAGGAUUAGAUACCCUGGUAGUCCACGCCGUAAACGAUGAGUGCUAAGUGUUAGGGGGUUUCCGCCCCUUAGUGCUGCAGCUAACGCAUUAGCACCUCCGCUGGGGGAGUACGGUCGCAGACUGAAACUCAAAGGAAUGACGGGGCCCCGCACAGCGUGAGCAUGUGAUUUAAUUCCGAGCAACGGCGAAGAACCUACCAGUCUUGACAUUCUCUGACAUCUAGAGAAUGGACGUCCCUUCGGGGGCCAGA